GCCAAGCUGUGUGUUACUCAUGUCCUGUAGGCCAAGCUGUGUGUUACUCAUGUCCUGUAGGCCAAGCUGUGUGUGUUACUCAUGUCCUGUAGGCCAAGCUGUGUGUUACUCAUGUCCUGUAGGCCAAGCUGAGUGAGUUACUCAUGUCCUGUAGGCCAAGCUGUGUGAGUUACUCAUGUCCUGUAGGCCAAGCUGUGUGAGUUACUCAUGUGCUGUAGGCCAAGCUGUGUGUUACUCAUGUCCUGUAGGCCAAGCUGAGUGAGUUACUCAUGUCCUGUAGGCCAAGCUGUGUGUUACUCAUGUCCUGUAGGCCAAGCUGUGUGUGUUACUCAUGUCCUGUAGGCCAAGCUGUGUGUUACUCAUGUCCUGUAGGCCAAGCUGAGUGAGUUACUCAUGUCCUGUAGGCCAAGCUGUGUGAGUUACUCAUGUCCUGUAGGCCAAGCUGAGUGAGUUACUCAUGUCCUGUAGGCCAAGCUGUGUGUUACUCAUGUCCUGUAGGCCAAGCUGUGUGUUACUCAUGUCCUGUAGGCCAAGCUGUGUGUUACUCAUGUCCUGUAGGCCAAGCUGUGUGAGUUACUCAUGUCCUGUAGGCCAAGCUGUGUGACUUACUCAUGUCCUGUAGGCCAAGCUGUGUGACUUACUCAUGUCCUGUAGGCCAAGCUGUGUGAGUUACUCAUGUCCUGUAGGCCAAGCUGUGUGACUUACUCAUGUCCUGUAGGCCAAGCUGUGUUGAGUUACUCAUGUCCUGUAGGCCAAGCUGUGUGAGUUACUCAUGUCCUGUAGGCCAAGCUGUGUUAGUUACUCAUGUCCUGUAGGCCAAGCUGUGUGAGUUACUCAUGUCCUGUAGGCCAAGCUGUGUGAGUUACUCAUGUCCUGUAGGCCAAGCUGUGUGAGUUACUCAUGUCCUGUAGGCCAAGCUGUGUGUGUUACUCAUGUCCUGUAGGGCAAGCUGUGUGUUACUCAUGUCCUGUAGGCCAAGCUGUGUGAGUUACUCAUGUCCUGUAGGCCAAGCUGUGUGGAGUUACUCAUGUCCUGUAGGCCAAGCUGUGUGAGCAAAGAAACUGAAUUUAUUGACUCCCUGAAGCAUCACAACCGGUCACAACUGACACAUGGUUACUUACUACAUCAUUUAAUGUGGUAACAACAUUUAUCAAAGUAUUAGGGUAGGGUUUAUUUUAGCGAAUGCAAUUGAAAACCUGUUCAAAACUCCCCUACUCGUAAUCGCUGGUUUGACAGCAAACACUCAAACCAGGGAACAGACAGAGUCUCUUUGUUCACCGUAUGGCACCCCCACCAUGAGGAACCCUCCUCCCC
rnacentral:lncRNA from 1 species